rnacentral:tRNA from 2 species
CGCGGCCCUCGCGGCGGUGGCCGACCGGCCGGUCACGGUGGCCUACACCCACCGGCCGCGCCCGUUCGACACGGCCGGGCUGCGG